GAUGAACGCUAGCGAUAGGCUUAACACAUGCAAGUCGAGGGGCAGCGGGGAGUAGCAAUACUCUGCCGGCGACCGGCGCACGGGUGCGUAACGCGUAUGCAACCUACCCUGUACAGGGGGAUAGCCCAUGGAAACGUGGAUUAAUACCCUAUAGGACUGUGAUUUCGCAUGGAAUGACAGUUAAAAUUACGAUGGUACAGGCUGGGCAUGCGUCCCAUUAGGUAGUAGGUGAGGUAAUGGCUCACCUAGCCUGUGAUGGGUAGGGGUUCUGAGAGGAAGGUCCCCCACACUGGUACUGAGACACGGACCAGACUCCUACGGGAGGCAGCAGUGAGGAAUAUUGGUCAAUGGCCGCAAGGCUGAACCAGCCAAGUCGCGUGAAGGAAGACUGCCCUAUGGGUUGUAAACUUCUUUUGCUUGGGAAGAAUAAGGAUUACGUGUAAUCCGAUGCCUGUACCGAGCGAAUAAG
rnacentral:rRNA from 1 species